UACAGAGGGUGCGAGCGUUAAUCGGAAUUACUGGGCGUAAAGCGUGCGCAGGCGGCUUUGCAAGACAGAUGUGAAAUCCCCGGGCUCAACCUGGGAACUGCAUUUGUGACUGCAUGGCUAGAGUACGGUAGAGGGGGAUGGAAUUCCGCGUGUAGCAGUGAAAUGCGUAGAUAUGCGGAGGAACACCGAUGGCGAAGGCAAUCCCCUGGACCUGUACUGACGCUCAUGCACGAAAGCGUGGGGAGCAAACAGG
rnacentral:rRNA from 1 species